rnacentral:rRNA from 1 species
AUCGAACGCUGGCGGCAUGCCUAACACAUGCAAGUCGAGCGGAGAGGCGGACGAGUGAGUACUGCCUAGGAAUUUGCCUGUUAGUGGCCUAUAACGUCCGGAAACGGGCCAUAAUGCCACAUACUCUCAGAUGAGCCUCGGUCGGAUUAGCUAGUUGGUGGGGUAAUGGCCUACCAAGGCGACGAUCCGUAACUGGUCCGAGCGGGUGAUCGGUCACACUGGAACUGAGACACGGUCCAGACUCCUACGGGAGGCAGCAGUAGGGAAUAUUGGGCAAUGGGCGAAAGCCUGAUCGAGCAAUGCCGCGUGUGUGAAGAAGGUCUUCGGAUUGUAAAACACUUUAGUUUGGGAAGCGUUAUCAACAGAAAAAGCACCGGCUAACUUCGUGCCAGCAGCCGCGGUAAUUC